rnacentral:rRNA from 1 species
GCAUAUCAUAAGUGGAGGAAAAGAAACCCAACAGGGAUUGCCUCAGUAACGGCGAGUGAAGCGGCAUCAGCUCAAAUUUGAAAUCUGGCGUAUGCCCGAGUUUGUAAUUUGUAGAGGAUGAUUCGGCAAGGUCUAGGUUCAAGUCUUCUGGAAGGAAGCGCCAUUGAGGGUGAGAGCCCCGUAGAGCCGACGACUGCGCCAUGUGAAUCUCCUUCGAAGAGUCGAGUUGUUUGGGAAUGCAGCUCAAAACGGGUGGUAAAUUCCAUCUAAAGCUAAAUAUUGGCCAGAGACCGAUAGCGCACAAGUAGAGUGAUCGAAAGAUGAAAAGCACUUUGGAAAGAGAGUGAAACAGUACGUGAAAUUGUUGAAAGGGAAGCGCUUGCGACCAGACUUGAUUGUUCAGUUCACCGGUUCAUUUGGACCGGGUACUUCUGUUUAAUCAGGCCAGCAUCAGUUCGAGCGGCUGGAAAAAAGCGUUGGGAAUGUAGCUCCUCGGAGUAUUAUAGCCCUUUGCAGAAUACAGCCAGUUUGGACUGAGGUCAGCCAUCUGUAGGAUGCUGGCGUAAUGGUUGCUAGCGGCCCGUCUUGAAACACGGACCAAGGAGUCUAACAUCCAUGCGAGUGUUUGGAUUUGAAAUCCGCACGCGUAAUGAAAGUGAACGGAGGUGAGAGCUUCGGCGCAUCAUCGACCGAUCCUGAUGUACUCGGAAGGAUUUGAGUAUGAGCAUGGCUGUUGGGACCCGAAAGAUGGUGAACUAUGCGUGAAUAGGGCGAAGCCAGAGGAAACUCUGGUGGAGGCUCGCAGCGGUUCUGACGUGCAAAUCGAUCGUCAAAUUUGCGUAUAGGGGCGAAAGACUUAUCGAACCAUCUAGUAGCUGGGUCCUGCGA